GAUGAAGAACGCAGCGAAAUGCGAUAAGUAAUGUGAAUUGCAGAAUUCAGUGAAUCAUCGAAUCUUUGAACGCACAUUGCGCCCCCUGGUAUUCCGGGGGGCAUGCCUGUUCGAGCGUCAUUUCACCACUCAAGCCUCGCUUGGUAUUGGGCAACGCGGUCCGCCGCGUGCCUCAAAUCGACCGGCUGGGUCUUCUGUCCCCUAAGCGUUGUGGAAACUAUUCGCUAAAGGGUGUUCGGGAGGCUACGCCGUAAAACAACCCCAUUUCUAUGGUUGACCUCGGAUCAGGUAGGGAUACCCGCUGAACUUAAGCAUAUCAAUAAGCGGAGGA
rnacentral:misc_RNA from 1 species